CAUCCUAAGACAAUCAUGCUUGGAAGAAGUUGGUCUACCCCAUUGGAAAAUGAAAAGCUGUUCAGGGAAGAGAAGUUGCCCAGCCGACAGUCACCUGACAGACAUAAAAAGCACAAGAAAAAGCACCCAGAUGCUUAGUCAACUUCUUAGAAUUCUUUUUUUUUUUUUAAUGUUCGGAAAAGAUGGAAAUUCAUUUCUGCUAAAGAGAAAGAAAAAAUUUGAAGACAGGGUGAAAGUGAACAGACCCAUUAUAAGAAAGAAACAAAAAUUUAUAUUCUCUCUGCAAGGAAACGAGAGAGAGAGAGAGAGAGAGAGAGAGAGGAAAAAAAUUUCCAGGAUUCUAAUGUACCAAAGGGAUCUCCAUUUUUUUUUGUUUGUUUGUUUUCUUCUGAAAAUUGCCCCAAAAGAACAAAGAGAACAUCUUGGCUAAUUCAUUGGUGAUGUUGUAAGGAAACAGAGAGAAAUGAAGGAAAUGAAGAAUUACUGCUGCAGAUAAUAUACAGCCUUGAGGAAAGAAAGGCUUUUAAGAUUACAGAUACAAAGGCUAUUUCUGUAUUCUGGAAUAAAAGAAAGUCUGAUGCAGGGAAAAGGGAAGUUAGAAAAACUGGAAAA